GGGGAAUCUUCCGCAAUGGACGAAAGUCUGACGGAGCAACGCCGCGUGAGUGAUGACGGCCUUCGGGUUGUAAAGCUCUGUUAAUCGGGACGAAAGGUCUUCUUGCGAAUAGUUAGAAGAAUUGACGGUACCGGAAUAGAAAGCCACGGCUAACUACGUGCCAGCAGCCGCGGUAAUACGUAGGUGGCAAGCGUUGCCCGGAAUUAUUGGGCGUAAAGCGCGCGCAGGCGGAUUGGUCAGUCUGUCUUAAAAGUUCGGGGCUUAACCCCGUGAUGGGAUGGAAACUGCCAAUCUAGAGUAUCGGAGAGGAAAGUGGAAUUCCUAGUGUAGCGGUGAAAUGCGUAGAUAUUAGGAAGAACACCAGUGGCGAAGGCGACUUUCUGGACGAAAACUGACGCUGAGGCGCGAAAGCCAGGGGAGCGAACGGGAUUAGAUACCCCGGUAGUCCUGGCCGUAAACGAUGGGUACUAGGUGUAGGAGGUAUCGACCCCUUCUGUGCCGGAGUUAACGCAAUAAGUACCCCGCCUGGGGAGUACGACCGCAAGGUUG
rnacentral:rRNA from 1 species